GGAAACGGCGCUUUUAAUGCAAACAUAACGCGCCUCUUUUUAAUUAAAUGUAUUUGAUAUAUGCGGGAAGAUUUUUAAUGAGAAUGUCAACGAGGCUGUGAGGUGACACACGGUAUUAAGCUGUAUAAAGCUCCUAGAUCAUAUAUGAUUUUCCACAACUCAAUUGUCUGUGGUUCUUUGCAUACUAAAUGUUCCUGGACAGAUAUUUUUCAAUGUUUUGUCCGCGGAACGAUCCAAAAACACUUUAAACUAAAGGACAGCCAAGUGAAGAGACUGUAAGUCUAUCCCUCAUAGCCUCAUUGUCAUUCCCAUUAAAAACAAAGAUGAAUAAGGGCAUGAAUAAGGUCUAAACUGAGGACAAUACAGUGCAGGUGUAAAGUAAUGCGAAGUUAUAAUUCAAUCUUUAUCAGUGGCUGUGAAUAUGGCCCACUCCCAUCUCACUCAGGGCUAUUGUAUCUAUAUGGGGAAACAUUAAACAAUUAACCAUCCUAAAAUGACAUUAUAUACACAUUAAACAAUUAACCAUCCUAAAAUGACAUUAUAUACACAUUAAACACUGACUACACAAUACACACAAUUAUCUGCAAUUGAAUCUCAUAUUUUAGAAGCUAGAUCGAUCAAUGCAACCAUAACUAAAGAGUCUGUCGACAUCUGGUGGCUGUUUGUGUGUAAUGCGCACUGAACCCACAAUUUAACCCCCUACAGCCAGAUGGCGCCAGAGUCCACUGUGCAGAAGGCAGAACAGUGGAUGAUGGCGGCGAAAAUGCUGAGGUCGCUCUUCAGACUCGCACAUCCUUAAGCGAUAUUAAACAGUAACAUCAGCAUUCCAGCCUGUGCUGUGCUUCAGAAGAGUGGAGUGAUGUUGAGGGGUUCAGGAAUUAAAUGGGAUCUGAGGAAGACUCAACGAUAUGACAAAUACAAUCAGGUGGAGUUUGAUGUGGCUGUUGGAAGUAAUGGCGACUGCUGUGACAGGCACUCAGGACAUUGUGUUUGGUGAGGUGGACCGUUGAAGAACAUCAGUG